rnacentral:lncRNA from 1 species
UCCUCUUUCUACUUUCUCUCUAUAUUUUCUCUAUCUACGAGUGUCUCUCUUUAUUUUCUUUCUCGACUUUCUCUCUUUAGAUUAUUUUUCUUCACAGAUUUCUCUCUGUAGAAAUGUUAUGGACUAGUAAAGGGUCCAGAUGUCCAGAACACUUGGAUUGAUCAGUUAAUUCUUGGGAGGGACUUGAACCUGUAGUGUCAG